ACACGAACACGCACGAGCGCGCGCGCACACACGCGGACACGGUGAUGCGUCCAAACGCACGCGGGGUGAAUGAUGCGCGAGUAACCGCGCGCACAGAUCGCCGGUAUGCACGCGCUAGGAGGAAAGGAGGAGAGAGAGAGAGAAAGACAAACGCGGAGCUUUCACGAGCACGCACGCGGACACGGACACGGCUGAGCUCGCGCUCUCCGAGCUUUCCACAUCACAGAUUUGUGUGCGUGCGUGCGUGCGUGUGUGUGUGUGUGUGUGUGUGUAUCACCCCCUCCUUCUCUCCAAUGCUCCAAUCGGUGUGUGUGUGUGUGUGUGUGUGUGUGUAUCUACCGCGCGCUACGGCUCGUUCACCGUCGCGAGACAUGUUAAAGUAAAAAUGUCCUUAUUACUGGAUUAGUUUAUUCACCUGUUUGUUUGUUUAUUGUUUAUUCUUUGUUUGUUUGUUUGUCGCAGGCUGCAGUAGAAAGUUUCUUCACGCUUCUUUGUGACAUUUAAACCGAGUUUCUGCUCUGAAGAGUCGUAAGCGAUGGAUUGUCCGGAAUGUCUCGGUGUACGACAACACUUCCUGUGCACGAAGCCAGCUCCAUGAAGACACGGUGUGUGAACGUUGGAAGAAGGUGGAAGAACCCGAGUGUCCUGCACAGAGCACUGACCUCAACCCCUUUCAGACGAACUGGAACUGGAGCCACCUCACAUCAACCUCACUAACGCUCUUACAAGCGAAUGAACACUAAUCCCCACGGCCACGCCCCGAAAUCUACUGGAAAGCCUUCACAGAAGACUGGAGCGCAUUAUAACAGCAAAAGACGGAAAACGCCUGGAACGAGAUGUUCAACAAGCACAUAUGGUAUAUAAUGGCAGUGCUAUCGUCAUGGCCAGCUUGUUCAACGGUAGGUCGUGCCUCUGGAACGAUCAUGAAAACAACGUCCUUAUCACAGAGAAAGCACUUCCUGUUUACGUGUGAGAGGGGCUGAGAUCAAACGCAGCAAACAAGCACGGGACACCCGUACCUCGAUCUCGGUGACUUUAACCCGGACGUGGUGCAAAAAACAAACAAGACCCAGUGAAACGCGGGUCCGGGUGGAGAAACGCCCUGUCGACGAGAGAGGUCGAAGGUCAGACUGGUUUGAGCUGACCAGAAGACGACUCUGUAUGACCGUGGUGAGCUGAAAAGCAUGUCCGGACGCACAGCCGAGGCAGACGAGUUACAGCAGCAGACUCUCCCACUCUUAUCGGCUCAAGAACAGGAAUCUGGACCUUUUUCCCAUCUUCCGCUGUCCGGUAUAUACAGUAUUCAUAAUGUUUCGCCAGGGCACCACACACACACACACACACACACACACACUUAUGCAAUACACUCCACCUACCGGAGCUGGGAGGAAACCGGAGAACCCGAGGAGAACGUACUAAACUCCGGACGGACAGAAACCCGAGCUCAGGAUAGACUCCAGGACUUGUGAGGUGGCGAUGCUAGCCUCUGCGAUGCUAGCCUCUGCGAUGCUAGCCACUCUGCUAGUUUGUCGCUAGUCCUACGUAUGCUAAUCUAGUCCAGUUCGUUUAACCUAGUAGAUCAUCUCUGUUUAUAAUCCGUAUUAUUUUGACCCUGGGAUCAAAAUUAGCUUGGAUUUUAGUCCUUAUAUCUCAUUUAUUCAUUGAGUUGUUUUGUUUUGUUGUUGUUUUUUUUUCCCCCCUCCGGAGGCUCAGUCAUGUUUUAGAGGCACGUUGUGAGCUAACAAGAUGACAGGAGUUCAUCACCCUGACACGAUAACAAUUACAGUCUUGCAAAAAAAUAAAAA